UGGCAGCCUGGCAGCGGCCACUGCAACGUGCUGACUGGAGCGGCGGAGGCGGCCCGGGUCAUCGGGGUCGAUCUGCAGCACCGCUCCAUCAGCUGGCAAUGUGUCGCCGCCAUCACGGCGUGCCGCCGGUCGGCGGGGUGCCACCGCCGCCGGCCGAGGCCGCCAAAGGCGUGACGCCAUGAUGACCGUGCUGAUGGUGCUGUGCACCGGCCGCCCGAGCCACAUGACUGGUAUCGCUGUCACGGCGGUGCCCGAGGCCAGGCUGAUCCCGGCGGUGGCGGAGACAUAUCCGCGGCACAUGUGGCGGUCCCGGCGUUUCUGGGUGCCUUCAAACGGCGGGGCAUACCUACCCAGAGGCCCGGCGUCCGGCUGGACCAGCAGGAGGCGGCGCUGCUGGGCAGGACCCGGAGGUCCGGCUCCGCCACGGCCCAGACUGGCCCGCGGAGCCUCAGUCGGUGCCUGUACUUGCAGUAGCUGGCGGCUGACGCCGCCCUCAGACCUACGGCACCGGCAGACGCAGCGUCCUGAUCAUGCAGCCUGCUGAUGACUUACUCUAAACACAUCUAAAUAAAGUAAAAUGCGUCUAUAAGCACCAGUGAUAAGCGUCUGUUCACAAAGACGAAUCAUUGACAAGGCAAUUGCUGUCUUCCACUCUGUGUCUCAGCCAGCAAGGCACAGUAUAGCCGUGUCCUUUUUGGCGGCGAGGGAUAGACCCAGCGGGAUUUGCGCCAUUGCAGUUAUUCUAAGAAUGCCUGUUGGCACUUAUUGCCUUUCAGUAUAUGUUGUAUUUGUAUUUUUGUAUGCAGGUAUUGUUUCAAUACAUUAUCUAGA